GGCUUCGUGGUCUAGUGGUAUGAUUCCUGCUUUGGGUACAACCUCAAACUUGCAGGAGGCCCCGUGUUCGAAUCACGGCGGAGCCC